CAGGUACUCCCUCCGUCUCAUAUUAAGUGACUUUCUAUUACAUGUAUCUAGACAUAUUUUAGUAUAUAAAUACGUUCAUAUUUAGACAAAUUUGAGUCACUUAAUAUGGGACGGAGGGAGUAAUUC
rnacentral:pre_miRNA from 1 species